rnacentral:tRNA from 1 species
GGACUGAAAAUCCCCGUGUCGGCGGUUCGAUUCCGUCUCUGGGCACCA